rnacentral:rRNA from 1 species
GACGAACGCUGGCGGCGUGCUUAACACAUGCAAGUCGAACGGAAAGGCCCUGCUUUUGUGGGGUGCUCGAGUGGCGAACGGGUGAGUAACACGUGAGUAACCUGCCCUUGACUUUGGGAUAACUUCAGGAAACUGGGGCGAAUACCGGAUAGGAGAUCCUGCUGCAUGGUGGGGGUUGGAAAGUUUCGGCGGUUGGGGAUGGACUAGCGGCUUAUCAGCUUGUUGGUGGGGUAGUGGCUUACCAAGGCUUUGACGGGUAGGCGGCCUGAGAGGGUGAACGGCCACCUUGGGACUGCGAUACGGCCCAGACUCCUACGGUAGGCAGCAGUGGGGAACAUUGCACAAUGGGCGGAAGCCUGAUGCAGCAACGCCGCGUGCGGGAUGACGGCCUUCGGGUUGUAAACCGCUUUCGCCUGUGACGAGGCGUGAGUGACGGUAAUGGGUAAAGAAGCACCGGCUAACUACGUG